UGGGUCUUUUAUCACCAACACCUCGAGUGGCUCCAUUUCUUUCAAAGAAUGGCCCUUUUGUCAUGGCAUUGAAGAAGGAGUUAGCCGAUCAUACUGAUGAAGUAAACAUGCAACAUGAGAUUCUUGAAGGGAUGUUCGCUUUCUAUGAUUCAACUAGCGCAAGGCUUAACAUCUAUCAGGUUGUUAGUGUAACAUUUGACUUGCUGCUACUUCUCGUGUUGGAAUCAUAUUUGUUGAAUAAUC